rnacentral:rRNA from 1 species
UACAGAGACCUCAAGCGUUAUCCGGAAUCAUUGGGCGUAAAGAGCUCGUAGGCGGUGUGUCGCGUCGGCCGUGAAAACCUGCAGCUUAACUGUGGGCUUGCGGUCGAUACGGGCAUCACUGGAGUUCGGCAGGGGAGACUGGAAUUCCUGGUGUAGCGGUGAAAUGCGCAGAUAUCAGGAGGAACACCCGUAGCGAAGGCGGCACUCUGGGCCGGUACUGACGCUGAGGAGCGAAAGCGUGGGGAGCAAACAGG